GCAGCCUGAGGAAUGCAGGAUUCCUCUCCUUGCAGGUUUGGAGGAUGCCUGGAGCUGAGAAAAGCCUGAACUGGGUUCCUGGGGGAGUUGUGCUGCACUUGUCCUCCCCAAAUACCCGACACGGAGAGGCUUCGUUCUUGCAGCACGAAAUCAAUCCGUGGCUGUGAAGGAUCUGGCCACAGUUGACAUCUCAGAGCGAUAAAUGUUCUCAUCAUUUUUUGAGAUCACCACGUCAGGGAGGAGCUGGAAAGCUGCACGCCAAACCGAGCAGUCCUGGGUGCCUCCUUCAGCAGGUGCAAGCUUUUAGAAGUAUUUUUGUCUUGCGUCCGUUCCAAACUGAAUUUGUGAUUAAAUUGAUGUAUUUAGGUAAAACCUUUUAACUGAAGAACCCCAAAUGGAAAUAUUUUAGCAAAUUCUGGCGCAGGUAGCACACUGCAGGCUGACGGCUGCGUCCCGUGAAGUACCACGGCAGGCCAAAGUUUGUGACCAGUUCUGCCUUAGCCAGUUUUGUCCGAGUGACUCACUGUUGCCUAUUUGUUGUCCGUAUUGCUAUAGCAGUCGAGACUCUUAAGCUUUGGAUCCACGACCUUGUCAUGCCAGGUGCUGUAGGAACGUGGAAGGGAAAGAAAAAAA